rnacentral:tRNA from 3 species
AGAGGGUUGGCGGAGUGGUCGAUCGCGGCAGUCUUGAAAACUGUUGACUGUAACAGGUCCGGGGGUUCGAAUCCCUCACCCUCUGCAA